rnacentral:rRNA from 1 species
AUUGAACGCUGGCGGCAUGCCUUACACAUGCAAGUCGAACGGUAACGGGCCUUCGGGUGCCGACGAGUGGCGAACGGGUGAGUAAUGCAUCGGAACGUACCUUUCAGUGGGGGAUAACGUAGCGAAAGUUACGCUAAUACCGCAUAUUCUGUGAGCAGGAAAGCAGGGGAUCGCAAGACCUUGCGCUGAUUGAGCGGCCGAUGUCAGAUUAGCUAGUUGGUGAGGUAAAGGCUCACUAAGGCGACGAUCUGUAGCGGGUCUGAGAGGAUGAUCCGCCAAACUGGAACUGGGACACGGUCCAGCCUCCUACGGGAGGCAGCAGUGGGGAAUUUUGGACAAUGGGGGCAACCCUGAUCCAGCCAUGCCGCGUGAGUGAAGAAGGCCUUCGGGUUGUAAAGCUCUUUCGGUCGGGAAGAAAUCGCAUGGGUUAAUACCCUGUGCGGAUGACGGUACCGGCAUAAGAAGCACCGGCUAACUACGUGCCAGCCGCCGCGGUAAAAC